rnacentral:rRNA from 1 species
UAGUUCCUUGAACCGCAUGGUUCAAGGAUGAAAGACGGUUUCGGCUGUCACUUACAGAUGGACCCGCGGCGCAUUAGCUAGUUGGUGAGGUAACGGCUCACCAAGGCGACGAUGCGUAGCCGACCUGAGAGGGUGAUCGGCCACACUGGGACUGAGACACGGCCCAGACUCCUACGGGAGGCAGCAGUAGGGAAUCUUCCGCAAUGGACGAAAGUCUGACGGAGCAACGCCGCGUGAGUGAUGAAGGUUUUCGGAUCGUAAAGCUCUGUUGUUAGGGAAGAACAAGUGCAAGAGUAACUGCUUGCACCUUGACGGUACCUAACCAGAAAGCCACGGCUAACUACGUGCCAGCAGCCGCGGUAAUACGUAGGUGGCAAGCGUUGUCCGGAAUUAUUGGGCGUAAAGGGCUCGCAGGCGGUUUCUUAAGUCUGAUGUGAAAGCCCCCGGCUCAACCGGGGAGGGUCAUUGGAAACUGGGAAACUUGAGUGCAGAAGAGGAGAGUGGAAUUCCACGUGUAGCGGUGAAAUGCGUAGAGAUGUGGAGGAACACCAGUGGCGAAGGCGACUCUCUGGUCUGUAACUGACGCUGAGGAGCGAAAGCGUGGGGAGCGAACAGGAUUAGAUACCCUGGUAGUCCACGCCGUAAACGAUGAGUGCUAAGUGUUAGGGGGUUUCCGCCCCUUAGUGCUGCAGCUAACGCAUUAAGCACUCCGCCUGGGGAGUACGGUCGCAAGACUG